rnacentral:lncRNA from 1 species
CCAUUUAUCCGAUCAACAGCUUCUCUGAGCUCUCCUGAGACAUGGUGCUACCUGAAAAAAACUCCAGUUCAUCUGCUCCCAAGAAGACCCCUGAGCAGCAUGCUCUGAGGCACCAGAGCCUGCCCUCUCCAGCCCUGUGCUGCGCCUGUGGGCUGUGCAUCAUGCUGGCUGGCAUCAACAUCACCCUAGUGGGAGCUUUUGCCUUUGGCUGCUGUGUCAUCAGCAGGAGACCUCAAGCCCACACUGCCCAUAAGGCCAAAGGAGGUGAGAAAUGGGCGCUGAUGAGGAUGGGGGGAGUUGCUUUUGAGAUGGAGACAAGCGAGCACACGCUUCAGGACACGACAGCUGUCCAGCUCAGCCCCACCAACUCCCCUAGCUCAUCUCACAAAUCCAGCUCCAUCCAAGGGGAAGCCACUGCUCUGCCUUCCUGUCAGGAUGAAGCCACUGAGCAGCACACAUCAGAGACCUGUGGCACUGGUGUUAUUGGAGAUAAACCCACUCUGAGCUCCGACUGCAAGGAGAGCACUUCCACACAGACGCUGCCUGAUCAGAUCACUACAUAGCGUGGACUUUGUUCUGUUUACACUGCUGGAUAAAUAUGUCUGGCGUGACUGCCAGGAUUAAUUGCUACUAUAAGUUAUAAGCUAAGUUGUACUUUAUUUAUCCCAAAGCUGGUAAAUUCAAAUAACACAUGGCUUAAGUAACUAGAAUGGUGGCGUGGUAAUAUGAUACAAGAGCGAAAAGGCCUGCAGAAUCAGCCUGUUAGCGUAAAUGUGUUGUGCAAACUCCCUGAUAAUUAUUCAGUGUGUUUCAGGAAGUUGUACUUUUACUGCCCUGUCCCAGGAUGUACAUUAUCUUUCCAGGAAAUGAAACAGGGAAGGAGAUGAUACCGUAAUCCAAGUGCCUGUUUUAUGUAGUUCUUGUUGUAGAAUACAUCUAGUUAUUGUGUAUUCAUUGUGUAUUAAUUUCCUAUGGAUUGACUUUGGUUAGUGCUUGCCACCUUUGUGAAGGAGGAUCAAUGCAUCCAGGCAAGCUACUCUGAGUUAUAAAAGCUGCACCUGUGUAAGCCGAGUGAACGCAGUCCCAGCUUUUCUACACACUUCAACAUAACUUUUCUUUCUUCUUCUUAUUUCCUGCACCAGCUGCUUUGAGUGAUGGUGUAACCUUGAGCUGUGUUAAAAUAGAUUCAGGAGUGUUUUGUGAAUGUCUUUACUUAUGUUGUUGUGCAUGAUUGCUACAGGUGCUAAUACAUGCUUGGGACCCCUGUAUAUUUUAUAAAUAUAGAUAACUCUUUACUUGAACAGAAGUAUAUAGUGUAUCUGUUCAGACAGCUUACUAAAACUAUUAAGGAUGCUAUCUUGAGCAAAUUAUAAUAAUUAAUACUUCUACUGACCCCCUUUGUGAAGAAUACACAGAAACAAAGCCAUUAGAACUGCAGUAGCAUUUAUGUCUGGCUAAAUGAGAAAGAUGCACAGGCUGUGAUGAUAAGUCAUUUGUUAUCUGAGUUACCCCAGCAGGGACUGUAGAAACGGCUACGUUGCCCAUCAUUUGGCGUCUGACCCAACAGCUGCCGGCAAAUGCGAAAGCCCUGUUUACUCAUCAUUUUACAUCAGCUGUCCUCAAAUACAGCGUGAUCCCCUCACACAAUCAAACCACAGGAAAAGAUAACACAGUGGCCAACGCCCACUGUUAUUGGAGUGCUUUUUGAGUGGAUACAGGCAGGCUGUGUGGGUGUCUGUAGUUAUUCAACGACUUGUUUCUGUAAAAAAGGUGACAUGUCUUGGCAACCUCAGCUCAAGUAGUAAUGAGGUCAUGCUGCUCUGAAGAAUGGCACAGCAGGAUUAAUUUAGUGCAGGGCUGGGUUUAACUCAGCAAAGGUUAAUGUAACUGAGCAAUUUUUAUGUAAAAAGAAUACUUCCAUCCAUCCAACCAUCCAGACUUGAUCCUAACCCCACUAUCACGGAUGAGAGGUGAGCUAAACCCUGAACAAAUCACCAUUCCAAGGCACAUCUGAUCUUGUUUUAUCCAUAGAUAUCAUCUUCUUCUUUUGGCUGGCCGCUUUAGGAAUAGCUAUAGCAGAUCAUCUGCCUCUAUCCCAGCCUAUCCCUAGCAUCUCAGCCUCGCCUUUCUACGUUUGUCUCCAAACCGCUGUCCCUCUGAUAUACUCAUUUCUAAUCUUGUCCAUCCUGGUCACUUCAACAAAAUGCUUAGCAUCUCUAACCCUAACCACCACCAGAUAAGCCUCCUGUGUACCAGGUCGUACUCCCAUUGUGUAUACCCAGUUGCCCAUCCCUGUUGCCAAGUGCUGGAUCAUAGGUGGUUGUGUAAUUGUUGUUUUCUAUCGAAUACUGUAGUCUGUAACUUGCAUUAUAAAGCACCUUAAGGCAAGUGUUUUUGUGAAUUCGUCCUAUAUAAAUAAAAUGUAAUGUAAUUGAACUA